UACGUAGGGGGCUAGCGUUGUCCGGAAUCAUUGGGCGUAAAGAGCGUGUAGGCGGUCCGGUAAGUCCGUUGUGAAAGUCAAGGGCUCAACCCUUGAAUGCCGGCGGAUACUGUCGGGCUAGAGUCCGGAAGAGGCAAGUGGAAUUCCCGGUGUAGCGGUGAAAUGCGCAGAUAUCGGGAGGAACACCUAUGGCGAAGGCAGGUCUCUGGGCAUUAACUGACGCUGAGGAGCGAAAGCAUGGGGAGCGAACAGG
rnacentral:rRNA from 1 species